rnacentral:rRNA from 1 species
UACGAAGGGUGCAAACGUUGCUCGGAAUUACUGGGCGUAAAGGGCUCGUAGGCGGCCAACUAAGUCCGACGUGAAAUCCCAAGGCUUAACCUUGGAACUGCGUCGGAUACUGGAUGGCUUGAAUUCGGGAGAGGGAUGCAGAAUUCCAGGUGUAGCGGUGAAAUGCGUAGAUAUCUGGAGGAAUACCGGUGGCGAAGGCGGCAUCCUGGACCGACAUUGACGCUGAGGAGCGAAAGCUAGGGGAGCAAACGGG